GUGAACCUGCGGAAGGAUCAUUACCGAGUGAGGGCCCUCUGGGUCCAACCUCCCACCCGUGUUUAUUUUACCUUGUUGCUUCGGCGGGCCCGCCUUAACUGGCCGCCGGGGGGCUCACGCCCCCGGGCCCGCGCCCGCCGAAGACACCCUCGAACUCUGUCUGAAGAUUGUAGUCUGAGUGAAAAUAUAAAUUAUUUAAAACUUUCAACAACGGAUCUCUUGGUUCCGGCAUCGAUGAAGAACGCAGCGAAAUGCGAUACGUAAUGUGAAUUGCAAAUUCAGUGAAUCAUCGAGUCUUUGAACGCACAUUGCGCCCCCUGGUAUUCCGGGGGGCAUGCCUGUCCGAGCGUCAUUGCUGCCCUCAAGCACGGCUUGUGUGUUGGGCCCCGUCCUCCGAUCCCGGGGGACGGGCCCGAAAGGCAGCGGCGGCACCGCGUCCGGUCCUCGAGCGUAUGGGGCUUUGUCACCCGCUCUGUAGGCCCGGCCGGCGCCUGCCGAUCAACCCAAAUUUUUUAUCCAGGUUGACCUCGGAUCAGGUAGGGAUACCCGCUGAACUUAA
rnacentral:rRNA from 1 species